UACGAGGGGGGCAAGCGUUGUUCGGAAUUAUUGGGCGUAAAGGGCGCGUAGGCGGUUCGUACAGUCAGACGUGAAAUUCCUGGGCUCAACCUGGGGGCUGCGUUUGAUACGUGCGGGCUUGAGUUCGGAAGAGGGUCGUGGAAUUCCCAGUGUAGAGGUGAAAUUCGUAGAUAUUGGGAAGAACACCGGUGGCGAAGGCGGCGACCUGGUCCGAUACUGACGCUGAGGCGCGAAAGCGUGGGGAGCAAACAGG
rnacentral:rRNA from 1 species